rnacentral:miRNA from 1 species
GACCAACUAAGUUAGUUCUUGGUAUGAGCUUUCGUGUGCAAGCACACUUCUUCAGAUACACACUGAAGAAUGUAUCUGAAGAUACACACUGAAGAAUGUAUCAGAUACACACUGAAGUGUAUCUGAAGAAGUGUGCUUGCACACGAAAGCUCAUACCAAGAACUAACUUAGUUGG